GUGAAUCAUCGAAUCUUUGAACGCACAUUGCGCUCUCCGGUACUCCGGUGAGCAUGCCCGUUUCAGAAUCAGCUAAAAUCCUCACCAGACAAUGGGUUUCCCAAUGUGUGGUGGACUUUGGACGAGCUGUCGCUUUGCUGGCAACCAUUCCGGCAAAAGCGACUCGUCCCAAACGCAUUGGAAUAUGCUCGGGCCAAUCGUCUCUUCACGGAGAUGAUUGAAUCCUUUGCAAAGCAGCAACAAAAGCCUUCAAUGGUUUGGAAACUACUCUUUGUUCAAAGUGUGUCUGAUGCAACGUUC
rnacentral:misc_RNA from 1 species